GUCUACGGCCAUGCUAUCCUGAACAAGCCCGAUCCCGUCUGAUCUCAGAAGCUAAGCAGGGUUGGGCCUGGUUAGUACUUGGAUGGGAGACCACCUAGGAAGACCAGGUGCUGUAGGCG
rnacentral:rRNA from 1 species